GUUAUUUGAGGUGGAAAAUUUCGUGCCAUCCACACGCCGCUGGUACCGACAGGGGAAACCCGAGAGAUGCAGGAGAACGCCACGCCUGCCAAAUAAC
ncrna:unclassified sequences skipping-rope RNA